rnacentral:lncRNA from 1 species
AUGCUCAGGACCUCUGUCUCCUUCCUCUGCUCCCAGCGCCCCGGUGGGAGAGGACACCAGUCGGCCUCGGCUUCGGUAGCUGUACUCUGCUGUCCAGAGCCAGCGCCCCGCUGCCCGCGGUCCACACGCUGUGGCCAAGGAGAUGUUUUCCCCCCUUCCCUGCGCCUGAGCAAGCUGGUGGGUGACCUCCAUCAGUGGGACCACAGCGAGGGGCCCUUGGUCAGCAUCACUCCGGUGACAGUACAGAAAACCAGAGGUGACGUCUGCAGCCGCAGGUGUGGGUUUCAGUACCUACUAGAUUCCUGGUAGAGGUUUGUGAAGGGCUCCUGGCUGCACGCACCUGUUGGCCCAUCUCUGCAUCGUGGGCUCCGACUCCGCCGGCCUGUGAGGCCAGCAGGUGGGUUGCGGACCUGAACUAGUGUCACUGCUGACUCUGGUGCGGUCACGUCCUGAGCGAGGACGCAGGGUCACCAGGCUGACCCUGGGUGGGCAGGUGGGCAGGAGGGGGCAGAUCCUCAAGACCGGCUCUGCAGUAGGUGGGCGGGGCCCGUGGGAGAGUCUGGGCCUCUGGGCAGCGGGGUGUGCCCUGAUUCUCCGCAGGGUCGGUUCCUGGUCUUGGCUUCCAGGAAAGGGGAAACUGAGUGGGAAUGUACUCGGGGAAAUAAAACAACUCUCCCAAAGCUCGUCAGGUCUUUGGCCAGCCUUCAGGAAAACAACACUCAGAAGAAAGAGAGAAUGUGGUUGGCUCUGGGGAGCCUCCCGGGCGGGAGGAAGACUCGGGGUGGGCUGCUCAGAAAUCAUCUUAACCACGAGGAUGUUUCCUCAGUGAGCUGUGUCUGGGCUGAAAACCCAGACUUAUCGUUUUCACCCUCGUAAGCGUACAAUACAGUAGCACUAAGUACGUUCACACGGUUGCACCACCACCAUUUCCCGAACGUUCUCAUCAUCCCAGCAGAAACUCUGGCCCCGUUAAGUAACAACUCCCCAUUCCCUCCCUCUGGCCGGGGAACUUCUCCUCUAGUUUCCGUGUCUGUGCGUCGGCCUGGCCCGGAUAUUCGGUGCGAACGUGAUCACAGGGUGUCUGACUUCUUGGCUUGGCGUGGUGCCUUCCGGGUCAGCCCACUGGCGGGCCAGCCCUUCGCUCCUGGUUAUGGCUGGAUAACCUUCC